AAUGCGCAUGCGCGAGGAGCGAGCCGCUUCUCCCCAUCACAGCGAUUCCCAGGGUUGUCGUAGAAACCACUCCCUGAGGCUUGGCAAAGCAGGAGCCCUCCGUGGCAGGGCUUCGGUGUCGGGGCUCCGAGGCUCUGGCCUGACUUCUCCACGGGGUCCACAGGAGCGUCUCCGGAUGCCAGGACCUGAAAUGGGCCGACCAGGAUGACGAAACCACAGGCAGAGGCCGGGGAAGCAGCGCGGCAUCCCAUCCUCAGGCCUGCCCGGACGGUGUUCGGGAUCAAGAGGACCACACUCCAGCCCAGGACAAAAGCCCCACGGUAGCACAUUGUCCGGCAGGAGAGGAGCAGACCCACGUCCAAGAAGAUGGUUGUACCUUUCCACGCCUCUUCUCUGCGAAAUGAAGCCACACCACGACACAAUCUUGAAGAGGAAGCCGGGAAUGGGAGACGGCAACAAUCCCUGUCCCUGGAACGCUGGCCUCUAUGGACAAGCCACCCGCUUCGCACCCCUCCCCUUAUGCCCGUGGCGGUGGCACGGCGCCGUAUCCUGCCUGGGCUCUGGCCUCUGCUCUGUCCUCCCUCUUCCUCUGUCUCCCCUGUUUCUCAGCGGCCUAGAUGCCUCUUGGUCUGGCUGAAUAUCUUCUAUGAAGAUCACUUCCCCGUCCAUCAGGGAGACAAUUCCUGGAGAUUCGUGUCAUGACUGUUUCUCUCUCCAAACCUGUUUCUGCUGGAUUGGGCAGGUCUGAUGACCCUGGAGCUCUUGGCUACCAUACGUGUCUCAGGAAACCAGAAUCAUGGCAUUCUGAAGAUUAGAGAUGCAAAUCUCCGUUAUUUGGCAUCCCCCCUGGACCCGAUCUGUUUUUCAUUGCAAAUAUCCUACUGCUAAGACUAUGCAAGCACCCUCCCUCUAGGCCCAGAGACUGUUGCAGAAGAGAUGGGUGCAUGAGAUUGUAAGGGCUGGUUUUGAGGGAUACAGUUAGCUCAGACACUGCAAAUCAAGGAGGGUACACAGGUGCCUAAACAGCUUGUAAAACAAAGAACUUUGCUUUCUCAGCUAUUACGUGGCACCUUUUUAUCCACCCCAACCAUGAAAAAUGUCCUGCUUCCUGGAAUUAAAAGAAAAUAAUUAUUAAGAGGAUAAAGAUACCUCAUGACCAAGCCUCCUGGGCAUAAUACUCCCAGUUAUAAGUUUUGCAGAUAUAUAUAUUUAGAUAUAUAAAAUUAUUUUUUAGAAAAAUAUAUAUGUUUUGUAUAGUUAAUCACUGUAAGUCUGUAAUUAAAACCAAGAUUAUAGCAGCUCAACGCAUAGAAAUGAAAGAAAAGUCAAUUUUUGUAAACUCGCCAUUGGCUUUUUGUUUUUGGCUCUUUACUUUAAAUAAAUCUUUUAAGGGGUAAAGAAUGCCUGUCUGAGUCCAUUCCUAUCUUUCCUAGAACACUUAUUUGUCUGUAAGUAUUUUGACUUCAAGUCCCUCCACCACAGGGAGUCUCACUGAAGGACAGGAUGGACACAGGGCAGGCAGAUAUGCCACCCAAACAGUGCUAGGGGAAAAAAAAAUUAAUAGCCAUUGAUGCUGAUGCUGGCAAAUAUUGGCCAUAAAGGGAAGAAUGGAAACCAAAAAUAAAAUUCUAAGCCCUUCAACCAUCUGAAUGUACCCCUCCUCUCAGCCAUAGGGAUUCCAGAGUGAAACUGAUAAUCUUGUUCAGGCCAUGAUGGAAGAGAGCAUUGGACAUGCCUCAUUAUAUUUCUCCAGCAUUAACAUCAACACAGACCUUAAGACAUCAACAUCAAACCUAAGAUUCUGAUCAGAAAUAUUUAACAUCUAUUUUCUCUGAAGCCUGCUACCUGGAGGCUUUAUCUUCCUGAUAAUAUCUAGGUUUCUCCAACACCUUAUCUUAACCCAGACAUUCCUUUCUACUGAUAAUAACUCUUUCAACCAAUUGCCAAUCAGAAAAUUUUAAAAUCUACCUAUAACCUGGAAGUCCCCACUUCGAGUUGUCCUGCCCUUCCAGAAUGAAACAAUAUAUACCUUACAUGUAUUGACUGAUGUCUCAUGUCUCCCUAAAAUGUGUAAAACUAGGCUGUGCCCUGACCAUCUUGUGCACAUGUUCUCAGGGUCUCCUGAGGGCUGUGUCAUGGCCCAUUGGUCACUUAUAUUUGGCUCAGAAUAAAUCUCUUCAAAUAUUUUAGAGUUUCACUCUUUUUGUUGACCAGUCACUCCCUAGUAAGUUUAGGAGCAGGGAUCUGACAGCAACCAUAUCAUGCUCAGAAACAGCAUUCUCUCAUCCACUGUCCCCAGGCUCUGCAGAACCCAGGGUCCUGGUAUCCAUAACCCAAGGAAAUGGGAAGGAGUCAUGAGCUCUUGGGCUUUCUCAUUCUCUGAAAAUGGGCAAUUGAUAACUAGCCUUGAUUUUGUUUAGAAGUAUAAAUAAAUGUCUCAUUUCUAAGCAAAAUGAAGUCUAGUUUCAAAUGUGUGAAAGGAAAAUAGAAACUUGGGACCCCAAUUCACUCUGCCAAAAGGAGAAAGUUAAGCUGAAAGCUGAGUCAUGCAAGAAGCUGACUUUCUUUUUGCUCCUAAGCACACAGCUCCAGAUGGAAGGUUAAAUAUCCCCACAGGUAGGUGCUCUGUCCUCAUCUUACCUUAUGUGAAGUGCUGAUUUACUGAGCAUAAGAUGAAUACAAAAUUGACUAUUCCCCUGCCUUAUCCUUUUCUUUUGCAAUGUGUGGAUUCAGUAAUGUGGCCAUACCCAUCCUCUUCCCCCUCCAGCAAACUCUUCCCCUUUAAAUAUUGAAGCCUCAGCAUCGUCUUUGGAGAAAGGCACAGACCACAGAUUGUUUAUAUGAUUCUGUGUUUUUUCCUUCCAACUUGUCCUUAAUCUUGGCAAAAUAAACUUCUAAAUUGAUUGAGACCUGUCUCAGAUACUUACUCAUUUAUGAAUAUUAGAAGCAGUUUGUGUUCUCAUCAUGUGUGUUAUUACAGCUAUCCCUUGUUAUCCAACCUUUUACUGUCAAGCUCAAUAACUGAAUAAAAUCAGAUAACUUUUUAGGUGAGUCCCUUUCUAUGUAAACUCUUGCUAUUCAUACUGGAGCUACAUUCAUUUGGAUAGUGCUCUCCCUCCUGAGUCAAGCUUGGUGCUUGACUCUCCCUAUCCAAAUCAGAAGCCAAAUAGACUUGAAAGGUUCAGGCAGUCAGUGUACACAGAACACGCACCGAACUUUUUGUUUAGCCAUUGCUAUUUAUCUCUAGUAGGUGUAAUAAUGAGAAAUGUUUACUUUUCAAAUACACUGCUGUGGUGUUUUAAUUUUUACAAGCUAAAUGUUUAAUGUUUACAUAACUAAUUUUUAUAAAAUACACCUGUUGCUGGAUACCUCUUGUCCCUAUCUUGAUAACCAUCACCCAGAUUUGCAAAGGAGGCCUUGCUCAAAUAUUUGGAAACUAAUGCCCUCAGAGAGAUGUCCACCAGCUUUGUUCCUCUCAUUCCUAUUUAAAGAUUGUGAUGUCAUUGGGUCUUUCCCUAGGGUGGCCCCUGGUUUGCCAGGCUGGACACUCCUGUGUUGAAGAUGCAUCGACUCACGUACUGCAUAAAUGUUUUAGAUUUUACUGUGAAGCAAACAAUUCACUCCUCAGACCCUCAGUCACCCAAGUCCACAUCUGGACUUGAGGUUUGGCUUCUCUGGUCCUAACUGGGACUUAUCUGACCCUGACAGGAGAUAACUUCAGUAGGGACUUUCCCUAAUAGCAAGCAUGCACACUUCAACUUGGCUUGCCCUGAAGGUAACAUUUACUCAUUAUAAUGGUAAAAAAACACGCCCCUGGGUGGAGAUUGCAGACAUUACUAAGACGUGUGAUGUAUGUACUAGCGUGUAUCACCAUACAGCAUGUGCACCCAGGAGACCACCCAAAACAUGUUUGCUAGUAACACCCCUUCACAACCACUUUCAUGAAUAAUCAUAUAAGACCCUCAUAAGGGAACUUUCCCAGUGCAGAUCAACGCUGUCUCUUUUUCCAAGCAGCCCGCUCUGACUUGGCUUUUAGAGGGUACUCUCUCUUUAAAUAAACUCUGCAGCUGCUUCACUGUCACUGCUUACUUCUUGGCUGAAUUCUUUCCUCCAAGAAGACAAGAACUGAAGACCCCACACCUCCCGGUAACAUUACCAACUCUUUCUCCUUUUUCUCUGGAGCUGGUGCUCAGAUGGUGAGAGCCCUGUGCUAAUGGUCCCAGGGUGGGAGCCUGUUUGCCCCUGUCUGGUCCUCAGCAAUGUCCUUGGUCAGUUUCCUGGCAACAGCUGUCAAUUACCAGAGGGAACAAGUGAUCAGCACCAGAGUCGAUCACUUCACAGAGGAGCUGAAGUGGACGGGGUCAGCUCAGGCCUCCCGGACCAGGGCGGGAAUGUCCCGUGAUGGCAGGUCAGUGUCUUAGCUACCUUGGAGGCACCUCUUCAUAGACUGCAGGGAUCAUUUAGGUAAAAAUAUAGCCUGCUGAUUUUUACACCUUUCUGAAAAUCUUUGCUAAUAGCAAUCUGUUAGCUGUGAAAAUUACCAUUGUUUUUUAUUUUUCGUUUUGUUCCUUAUUACUGAAGAUAUUCUAUGGAGCUUUAAAGCCUCCUGCAGUAAGAAACUAGUAAAGAAACAUACUGUUUGCAGGAAGGAAAAUUACCCACAAUUCUUGUUCUCUAAGGUGCGUGGUUAUCAUUCCAACAGCCAUUCUCAGCAAUGAACUGAGGGCCCUCAGAUGUGUUUCAUUCCCUUAGUAUUUUAAUCCUCUCCUCCACUCUCAAU